rnacentral:sRNA from 1 species
GUGCAGCCGUGCACGCUGCGAACAGCGUAU